rnacentral:tRNA from 1 species
GGGGCCGUGGUCUAGCAUGGUUAUGAUACCCGGCUAGGGACCGGGAGAAAAAUAAUUUCCCGAAGUCGCGAGUUCAAAUCUCGCCGGCCCCA